ensembl:lncRNA
CCGCCCACCGCUGCUCUCUGCUGCCUGCCUGCCUCUCUGCUGGGCGGACUGGGGCAGAUCCGAGCCGACCAGUUCCGUGUUUCUCUGCUCACCCAGUUUACGGAGCAGACCGUACCGGAGGACCGGACAGCGUCACGGUGGACAUUCCUGUCCAGCAGCGGCAUCCGUAACUCCGGGGACGACAGGAAAGUGAGCGCGGAGUCACGCACUGAUGGAUGCAUCGGAGACCAACAUGGGGUUAGUAUCUUGCCCCAGGAUAUUUGGCAUGCAGACUGGGCUCAAACCACCAACCUUCCGGUCCCACUAGUACCGCCAAACAGCUCUGACCUGUCAGGACUCUCAACCUGGAGUUCUUUGGGACACGCGGGUUCUGGUGUGGGACUCUCACG